GACGAACGCUGGCGGCGUGCUUAACACAUGCAAGUCGAACGAAGUGGCGCACGGGUGAGUAACGCGUAAUCAACCUGCCCUUCAGAGGGGUACAACAGUUGGAAACGACUGCUAAUCCCGCAUACUGAAGGAGGGGCUUGCGUCUGAUUAGCUAGUUGGAGGGGUAACGGCCCACCAAGGCGCUGGGCAGUAAGCGGUCUGAGAGGAUGAACGGCCACAUUGGGACGGAGACACGGCCCAGACUCCUACGGGAGGCAGCAGUGGGGAAUCGUCCGCAAUGGACGAAAGUCUGACGGAGCAACGCCGCGUGAGUGAUGACGGCCUUCGGGUUGUAAAGCUCUGUUAAUCGCGACGCGGUACCGGAAUAGAAAGCCACGGCUAACUACGUGCCAGCAGCCGCGGUAAUUC
rnacentral:rRNA from 1 species